ensembl:rRNA 5S_rRNA 5S ribosomal RNA
GUCUGCAGCCUUACCACCGUGAGUGCAGCAAUCUCUGCUAAGCAAGGUCCAGCCUGGUUAGUACUUGAAUGGGAAACCACCUGUGAUAGCUGGUGCUGUGGGCU